UCCCAGCGUUUGGCCAGGGAGGCGACUCCGCGGGCGGGGGUGGGCGCGGGAGGCUCUGGCGAGGAGCUCUGGGGCUUCCUGUUUCCUUCCGCGGCUCGAGCAGAAUUUGAAAGCAGCGGCUCCGUGAGCUGGACCAAUGAUCGGGGCACAGCGCGCCCGGGCCGCCCGCGCCCGUUACCGCGCCGGGCUGCGCCUCCGGCUCCUCCCGGGAACACCGGGAACACCGGGAACCACCGCCCACGGGAAACAGCAGAAGCAUGGCUGUCCCGCUGGGAUUAAGACUGGAAAGGCGGAUCUUGUCACCUUCCCAAUUAUUUAAUGGUGGGAAACAACUUCAGUCAGCACUUUGGGAUUUUUCCACCCAUUCCCAUGAAAACAUACCCACUCCUGGAUGUUCCCUCUCCCCAUCUCAGACGCUCUGGAGGAUGUGGGGAAGGAGCCGUGGAUCCGGUCAGGAAUGCCAGGACAUUUGGGAAGAGUAGAGCAGGUGGAGGUGAUGUGGAAAAAGCAGGAUCAUAGCAGCCUGACCUCUGUUUUGUGGGAAAGCCAACCCUGGGAGCAGCAAGGAAGUGCUGCAGGAGCUAUUUGGGAGCCAAAGAGGAUGGAUAAGGAUCCAGCAGCCAGCAUUCCAUCACCAACACUGCUCCUGGCCCCUCUUCCCACAGCCAAACCCGAGUGGAUGGAGCAGAAUCCACAAGCAGGGACAUGCUGAGUUGGGAACACUCAGCAGCUCAUCCUGGCGAGCCCAUCUUGCUUCACCCCCUGGGCUGGGCUGCCUUGGGAUUGGGAUUCUCUGCAGCAUUACUGCAUUGACUCGGGUUGCAACACCCCAAGGUGAGCAAGUUCAUGGGCUUAUAAAAACUCUUUCAAAACAGUCUUUGCAAGAGAAGUAAGUUUGAGGAGCAAAUCUCUUCUUUGCAGCAGUUGGGAUUUGGGAGCUGGGCUGGGAAUCCCACUGAAAGCUUCCCUAAAAGUGAAGGUGCUGGGCAGUGCAUCCCCCAAAACCCCCAAACUUUCCCUGCUUUUUUCUUUUUAAAAGUUUUCUCAUCACCAUCAGGUCCAGGCCCAACCCAACACCUCUACCCCAAAACCCUUGUGCAAACCUGGUGCCCUAAGGCUUCCAGCCCUGAUUUCAAGGUUAUUUUAAAUUUAUUUAAAGGUUAUUUUUCAUUGAUUUGAGGCCGCCGCCGCUGCUGAUUUGCCUGGUCCAGGCCACCCCCCGCCCGCGCAGCCUUUUCUCAUCUGAGUGAGCAAAACGCUCACCGCAGAGAGAGUUUCCAGAAAUGAUUCAGCCUUUCCCUUUGAGAGAAAUGGAAGGUGAAGAGGGGAAAGUUACCCUGCGUGGACAAUAGGAGGCAUUGAACUCGUCCCCGAUGCGCCGCAGCUCUUGCGCGAUCCAGAUUUCCGGCUGCACCUCUUCGGCUGGAGAGUGGGAUUGCCACCGGGAAGCUGCGUGGGAUGGAACAGGAGAGUUGGAAACCCAGGAAGAAGAACAAAUUGUACAGAAUUUACUACAUAAAACUCUCUAGGACUGACCCACUUCCAUGUGGAAAACUUCACGGCACGCAUCCAGCUGGACACUGCCAGGGCACAGGGAUUGAGGAGGAGGUGUGCAGGGCAAAGCCAGGGAUAUUUCCCAAGGAGAGCUGCAUGGGAAGUCACAGCCUGGGAGCUGCAGGCCUGGAUGGGGAUAAAACAGCUCUGUAGCUCCAUGUUCCCAGCUUAAUCCGUUCAGGAGUAUCCAGGAGUCCCAGUUAAACAGUACUGAGGAUUUUCCAUUUGCUUAUAGUUGUUUAGGAUGAUGCCCCUAGCAACACUCACAGAGCAAAGGCUCCAAUAAAACAGCUGAUGAGAGCACAGGAAUUUGGGGGGGGGGGGGGGAAAUCAGGGAAAACAUCAAUUUCUCCCCAGAUAAAAGAAACCGAAGCCUUGGCUCUCCCGGCAAGGAAUUCCGGGAGCAUCCCUGCCUGGCCGUGCCAGGGCGAGGUUGUGAAACACGAAUUAAGCUGUAAUUACUGCAACAGUGUCACAAAAUCUUUCCUAAGGGCACGUUACAGCCAGGCCUCCGCAGCCAGCGCCAGGAGGAAGCAAAAACACCACCAGCCAAAAAAGAUGGUGUUUAGAUGCCAGAAAGCUUGGAGCUGGUGUUUGUUAUCCCCCGUGCCCUGGUGGAAGCUGAAAGGUGGGAGUUCAAAGGUUUCCUCCGAUUAGAGGGAAUUCAUCAGGAGAGGGGAAUGCUGGACAUUCACGCAGCUCCCGCGGGCAGCUUUUCCCUGCUGGAGAGGCUUCACCUGGCAAAGCCACUGGUAAACACGCCCCCGCCCGCCUCCGGGCCGCUUCCCAGCGGGAUUUUGGGAUGCAUGACCCCAGCACCUCUGCCGCUGAUCGAUGAGAGAGCCGGCAGCGACGCCACGAGCCAGGAGCCACUUGUUUGGCAAAACAGCCUGGGACGAGCGAGCCCGGAGUAGGAAACUGGACUCAACAACUCUGUCCCCUCCUCCCCUGGCAGCAACUGACCGAGCCCGGAAAAGAAUAAACAUCAUAGUAAUAAAAACCCCGGCGCUGGACGCGCGGGAGUUCCCCGGCGCUGUGUUUGCCCGCGGGCCCGGCCAGCUUCCACAGAUCCCAGAGCGCCGGGAGAGCCUCCCGAAACCCGCGGGGUGGGAUGCGGAGGUGCUGCUGCAGGUGCCUGGCAUGGCUACCUGUGUUUUCCAACGUUCCAAGGGAAUCCCCUCGAGGCAAAGAGCAGGACCCCUCAUGCACCCCUCAACACCCCGCUGGCACUGUGCGCUCGCAGCUUCACACACCCCUCCUGUGCAUCCACACCUGUGCACAAACCCCGGCCCUUCACACGCCCACGAGAGAGAAUCCGUGUUUUCCGCCGUUCUGAGGAAAGCCAAGCCAGGUGAGGAGGGGAGGGCGAGGAAAGCCAAGCCAAGGUGAAGGGUCGGAAAAGCGCUCCUGCACUUUCGACCUGCCCCUGAACUGCGCAUUCACCCUCUCACAUCUCCCCCGGCACUUCACCCUCACACCUUCACACGCCCCCACAGGAACCGGGUUCUGAGGAAAGCCACGCCAGGUGAGGAGGGGGAGCGAGGGAAGCCACGCCAGGUGAGGAGGGGGAGCGAGGGCAGCCGAGCCCGGCGGGGAGGGAAGGAGGAGAAGGA